GGACACAACAGAGGCAGUAGGGACUACCAUUAGUCUUGAAACAGCACGUGCAGACCAUCCGAAGCCUGUAACUGUGAAACCAGUAACAACGGAACCACAGAGUCCAGAUCUGAAUGAUGCUGUGUCCAGUUUGCGGAGUCCUAUUCCCCUCCUCCUGUCCUGUGCCUUUGUUCAGGCGGGGAUGUAUUUCAUGUAGAAGGUGGGAGAAGGCUGCUAUGAGUCUUUGGAUGGGAGUUUGGCAAGAGGAAAUUGGAAGAUAAAAUAAAUAAGUGAAAUAAUCUGGUUACCA
rnacentral:lncRNA from 1 species